UACGUAGGUGGCAAGCGUUGUCCGGAUUUAUUGGGUUUAAAGGGUGCGUAGGCGGUCCUAUAAGUCAGUUGUGAAAUACGGCAGCUUAACUGUCGAGGUGCAAUUGAUACUGCAGGACUUGAGUACAGACGAGGUAGGCGGAAUUGACGGUGUAGCGGUGAAAUGCUUAGAUAUCGUCAAGAACACCGAUAGCGAAGGCAGCUUACUAGACUGUAACUGACGCUGAUGCACGAAAGUGUGGGGAUCAAACAGG
rnacentral:rRNA from 1 species